GACGAACGCUGGCGGCGUGCCUAAUACAUGCAAGUCGAGCGAAGUUUUUCUGGUGCUUGCACUAGAAAAACUUAGCGGCGAACGGGUGAGUAACACGUAAAGAACCUGCCUCAUAGACUGGGACAACUAUUGGAAACGACAGCUAAUACCGGAUAACAGUAUUUCUCGCAUGAGAGAUAUUUAAAAGUUGGUUAUGCUAACACUAUGAGAUGGCUUUGCGGUGCAUUAGCUAGUUGGUGGGGUAAAGGCCCACCAAGGCGACGAUGCAUAGCCGACCUGAGAGGGUGAUCGGCCACACUGGGACUGAGACACGGCCCAGACUCCUACGGGAGGCAGCAGUAGGGAAUCUUCCGCAAUGGGCGAAAGCCUGACGGAGCAACGCCGCGUGAGUGAAGAAGGAUUUCGGUUCGUAAAGCUCAGUUGUUAGGGAAGAAUGGAUAUGUAGUAACUAUACAUGUAAGAGACGGUACCUAACCAGAAAGCCACGGCUAACUACGUG
rnacentral:rRNA from 1 species